AGGAUCCGCCACCGAUCUUCUGAAGAAGGAAACAAAGUGCUAAAGUGAUGAAAGAUGAAGUCAAAGGCAAAUUUGCUUCAAAUCGGCAAAGCUUAUUGGGUGUUCAAAGGAGAGAUGGAAGGACAGACAUUCCCUCAACCUAUCAAUUCGGACAUGUGUAAGAUGUUUUUUAUUUGAUUAUGCAAAGUUUCUUUUAGGAAAUCAUGCAAGAGACGAGGCAAAAGUCAGGCCAUCUUCCUUUCCAAUCAAAACAUUUCAUCCCUAGUCAUCCCCUUUGAACUAUCAGAACAAUAAUUUUCGUUUGGCAACCCCUGAGAAUUGCAAACCCCACACUGGGGCAAAUUCAUUUUGAAAAGUGAUCAGAAAGAAAAGGAAAACCCCACACUGGGGCAAAUUUAUCUUUGAAAGAGAUAUGGGAAAAAGAAAGAACCCUACACUGGGGCAAAUUUAUUUUUGAAAGAAAAAUGAAAAGGAAGAAAGAACCCCACACUGGGGCAAAUUUAGUUUUUGAAGGAAAAUGCAAAAAGUGAGAAAAAUGCAAUGAAGAAAAUGCAAAGAAAGAGAAAAUCCAAUCAAACUGGGGCAAAUUUCCUCGGUUUCGU
rnacentral:lncRNA from 1 species